CCUACGGGAGGCAGCAGUAGGGAAUAUUGCUCAAUGGGGGAAACCCUGAAGCAGCAACGCCGCGUGGAGGAUGAAGGUUUUCGGAUUGUAAACUCCUUUUGUUAGAGAAGAUAAUGACGGUAUCUAACGAAUAAGCACCGGCUAACUCCGUGCCAGCAGCCGCGGUAAUACGGAGGGUGCAAGCGUUACUCGGAAUCACUGGGCGUAAAGCGCGCGGAGGCGGGAUAGCAAGUCAGAUGUGAAAUCCUAUGGCUUAACCAUAGAACUGCAUUUGAAACUGUUAUUCUAGAGUAUGGGAGAGGUAGGUGGAAUUCUUGGUGUAGGGGUAAAAUCCGUAGAGAUCAAGAGGAAUACUCAUUGCGAAGGCGACCUGCUAGAACAUAACUGUCGCUGAUGCGCGAAAGCGUGGGGAGCAAACAGGAUUAGAUACCCUUGUAGUC
rnacentral:rRNA from 1 species